UACGGGGGGGGCAAGCGUUGUUCGGAAUUACUGGGCGUAAAGGGCUCGUAGGCGGUUUGUCGCGUCGGGAGUGAAAACACUGGGCUUAACUCAGUGCUUGCUUCCGAUACGGGCAGACUAGAGGUAUUCAGGGGAGAACGGAAUUCCUGGUGUAGCGGUGAAAUGCGCAGAUAUCAGGAGGAACACCGGUGGCGAAGGCGGUUCUCUGGGCCUUGCCUGACGCUGAGGCGCGAAAGCUAGGGGAGCGAACAGG
rnacentral:rRNA from 1 species